rnacentral:rRNA from 1 species
CGCGGCCUAUCAGCUUGUUGGUGAGGUAAUGGCUCACCAAGGCUUCGACGGGUAGCCGGCCUGAGAGGGCGACCGGCCACACUGGGACUGAGAUACGGCCCAGACUCCUACGGGAGGCAGCAGUGGGGAAUAUUGCACAAUGGGCGCAAGCCUGAUGCAGCAACGCCGCGUGCGGGAUGACGGCCUUCGGGUUGUAAGCCGCUUUCAGUAGGGACGAAGCUAACGUGACGGUACCUACAGAAGAAGGACCGGCUAACUACGUGCCAGCAGCCGCGGUGAUACGUAGGGUCCGAGCGUUGUCCGGAAUUAUUGGGCGUAAAGGGCUUGUAGGCGGUCCGUCGCGUCAGGAGUGAAAACUCGGGGCUUAACCCCGAGCCUGCUUUUGAUACGGGCGGACUAGAGGGAUGCAGGGGAGAACGGAAUUCCUGGUGGAGCGGUGGAAUGCGCAGAUAUCAGGAGGAACACCGGUGGCGAAGGCGGUUCUCUGGGCAUCACCUGACGCUGAGAAGUGAAAGCGUGGGGAGCAAACAGGCUUAGAUACCCUGGUAGUCCACGCCGUAAACGGUGGGCACUAGGUGUGGGGGACAUUCCACGUUCUCCGUGCCGAAGCUAACGCAUUAAGUGCCCCGCCUGGGGAGUACGG